AUGUGUGCCUAUGCCUUAGAGACACAGUCUCUAUCAUUAUCAUCUGAGUCAUUGUCAGUAAUUAUCCAUUUCAUCAGCAUAGGUCUGUUUUGUUACCUUAUGGAAUUUUUUUUUUUAAACCUUGUUUAUAACAAGAGCUUUGUCUGUUUCUUUCCAGGUGUCCUUCUGCUAUUGACAAGAUGUUACUUAAAACUUCUUUUUUUUCUGUCAAUUGUUGACCUCUCACAAACAACAUUUAUUUACUGCAUGUUAGUAUUGUAUGGGCUUUUUGUCAGUAGGAAGCACAGCAUAAAAAGUUCCAAGAAAUGUUGUAUUUCAGAACAUAUAUCAUUUAUCCUGGCAUUGCUGCUGAGUUGAACCAAUGUUCCAACACUGAGACCAGAGUGGAGAUUCCAUCUUGCAAAACAGUGGGUUUUAUUUUGUUUGUUUGUUUUCUUUUCUGUUUGGAAAUUAUACAAAUGUCCUUUUUACUUGAGUAAAUUGCUCAGAAACUUCAAAAGUAGUCAGCUUCUGAUCUGAAUAACUAAAAAUGCAGUAUUUACAAGUUCUGCUAAUGAUUAUAUUUCUUCAUGAUUAACGUUUUUCAAAAUUAAUAGUAGUAGCCCACUAUAAUUUGUAGAACAAAAAUAUAAGUAUGCGUCCCAACAGAUUUUUUUUCUCUAGGUUUAAUCUGACCAUUUUAAAUAUUUGUUGAAUCACAUAGAUUUCCUUGAAGUGGCUUCUUAGUCACUAAUUAAUUUUUAUUUUUAUUUUUUUCUGAAAGUGAUUCUCACUGAGCAAAUAAGACUUUUGAUAUAUUUCUGAAAACUUCUAAAUUGUCUAAAGGGUGCAAAAACUGACAUCCCAGAUUUCAGGCUACUGAAGGGGAUGCUCUAAAUUACUGCAGUUUUGUCCCAGCUACUACAGGGUGUCUUUGAAACCAGGGCAGCCAAAUUUAAGAGAGCUGACUAACCUUCACUUCUAGCACAAAGCUUUCCGUAUUUCUGCAAUACUCUGGAGCUCCAGACCCAGUCAGUGGAGUUCUCUAGGCAUAGUACAGGGAGUAGGUUUCUGUGACUUACAACAAAUAUUUCAUCACAUGGACUAUUAGCAAAGUAAAUAUCAGAUAAGGUGAUGCUGGGCCAUCUUCCUACAUCUUACUCCGUCCCAUUCAUCACUCCCAUUCUAUGCCAGUUAUAUAUAGAAGGGAAAUAAACGUUCAGCUAGGUGGUUGUUCUACA
rnacentral:lncRNA from 1 species